UAUGUUACGACUUAUUCCAUUUUAUUGAAAUUGACGGGCAAUUUGUACACUUUUCAAAACUAUUUUCAAUUUAAUUAAUUAAUUAAAUUUACUUUUAAAUCCUCUUUCAAAUUAAUUUUAAAAUUAAUUAUUCUAAAAUUAAAUUUAUUAUAAUUCAUAAAAUUCUUAAAUAUACUACAUUUUGAUUUGAUUUACUAUUAAAAAUUAAAUAUUAAUUAAAAAUAAUUUAUUAUAAAAAUAAACAACAAUAUAUAAAUAUAAUUUAAGUAAGUCUUAUCGUGGAUUAUCAAAUUAAACUACAAAUUUCUCUAAUAAGAAUGAAAAGCCGCCAUAAAAUUUAAUUUUAAUGAUUUACAUUUAAUAAUAAAUUAAUUUAUUUAUUUUAAAUAGUAGGGUAUCUAAUCCU
rnacentral:rRNA from 1 species